AGAAUCAACGCUGGCGGCGUGCCUAACACAUGCAAGUCGCACGAGAAAGGGUAGCAAUACCUGAGUAAAGUGGCGCACGGGUGAGUAGCACGUGACUAAUCUACCCUCGAGUGGGGAAUAACUGAGAGAAAUCUUAGCUAAUACCGCAUAACACUUACGAGUCAAAGCAGCAAUGCGCUUGGGGAGGAGGUCGCGGCCGAUUAGCUAGUUGGCGGGGUAAUGGCCCACCAAGGCGAUGAUCGGUA
rnacentral:rRNA from 1 species